CUGCCUGUCUGUCACUCUCAUACACAUUCUCAGGGUGACAAAGGACAGAAAGGAGAAGUCGGAGCCACAGGUUUGCCCGGAAAUCCAGGCAAAGAUGGGCCCCCUGGUGGAACUCCAGAAUCUAAAGGAGAAAAAGUA
rnacentral:lncRNA from 1 species